rnacentral:rRNA from 1 species
UACAGAGGUGGCAAGCGUUGUUUGGAAUUACUGGGCGUAAAGGGCGCGUAGGCGGUUCGUUAAGUCCUGUGUGAAAUCCCCCGGCUCAACUGGGGAACUGCACAGGAAACUAGCGGGCUUGAGUUCGGGAGAGGGAUGCGGAAUUCCAGGUGUAGCGGUGAAAUGCGUAGAUAUCUGGAGGAACACCGGUGGCGAAGGCGGCAUCCUGGACCGGCAUUGACGCUGAGGAGCGAAAGCCAGGGGAGCAAACGGG